AGUCUGGAUACACUCAAGUUUGCCGUAUGACACAUCCUGCAACUCAUUGUACUCUGAUGCCCUCAUUUAAACUACAACACAUGGCAGCCAUCAAGAACAAUGGUUUCCUCUUACCUCUUGGAUCUUUCUUCUGACUUCUCCUCAUCCUGGCUCAGGAACUCACCUCCACUCCCAGAACCACCUGUCUGGUUUCCCUGCCUCUAGGCCUGCCCUGCCAACCAGUGUGAUAUUUCUUAGAGGGAAAUCAGAUCCUGUCUCAAGUCUACAAAUGUGACACCCUCCUGCAGCUCUUCGGAUGUCAACCAAAAUGUCAUUCCACCGGGGUCUUCCCUGACCACUUGAUUUCAAGUUUUACCCUGGUUAUUUCCUUUCAUGGUCUCCCUCUGUCUCUCUCUCUCUGUCUUUAAUUUCUCUAUAAAUGUGUUGUUCUUUGUUUAUGUUAUAGAACCCAGAGUUCUAAGCCACAUCUUUGAA